AUCCUCUCCCCUUCUCCUCUCUUCUUCUGCAGUCUUCACCAUCCAGGUCCUGGUCACUGGGCGAACCGGUGGCUGCGAGGAUCUGUUCUUAGAGAAGGUCUCUGGCCGCCUCUCCAAGAUCCACCUCAAGACGGAAAGUUAUCAAGAGGACUCCGGCCACUUCCUGCUGGUCUUCUGCCCGGUCUCCUCCCGGAUGGGCACCGACAUGGAGAAUGCGCUGGAGGAUCUCAAAGGUCAGUCCAGGUGAGCCAAAGGCGGUCUUGAUCGUGCUGCAUCACAGACUGAAAGAAUACGACCGCUUUCUGGACACCAAGCUGCAGGCACAACACCCGGCCGUGGUGCACACCGUCCACGCUUGCUACACGCUCGAGGGCGGCCUCUACGACUGCCAGAUGAACGAGGAGGCCGUGGCUGAUGUGGCCAAAGUCCUCAAGGUCCAUUACAAAGAGAUGGAGAAAGGGUCCUCGGACCCUGCGGCCAAGCCAUUUCCCCAGGCCCGACCGGCGACGAUGCAAGGAAUCGAGCGUCCGAGAGGCAACCCGCCAGACUCGGCCUCCCAGCAGGCAGAGAUCCACAGAUCGGAGCGUUGGCGGCUGAAGCAGAAGCUUCCGGAGGACAGAAGAGGCCAAAGGGAUGAAAGCUGGGAGCCAAGGAAGCAAAGAGGGUGGUUUUCAUGUUGCAAGAAAGGUCUCCCCAUCCAGGUGCUUGUCACCGGGCGGACUGAAAACUGUGAAGGCCAGUUCUUAUGGAGGGUCUCUCACCGCCUUGACAAAAUCCGUCUCAAGCCAGAGAGGUACCGAGAGGACUGUGGCCACUUCCUGCUGGUCUUCUGCCCCGUGACCUCCUCGGUGGACAUCGACAUGGCCAACGCUCUCGAGGGUCUCCACUGUGAGCCGGAGGCGAUCUUGGUGAUGCUGCACCACAAACCGAAGGAGAGCACCUCUUUUGUGGACACCACGAGGCAGGCGCAACACCGGGCCGUGGAGUGCACUGUACACGCUCGCUACACGCUUGAAGAUGGCUUCUACUGCUGCCAGACAAACAAGGUGGCUGUGGCCAUUGUGGCCCAAGUCCUAGAAGAGCGCCGCAAAAUGGUGAGUGGCCCCACGAUACCGGUUGCUCCUGAACAUUUCCCUUUGGCAGCGUCUCCUUCCCUGGAGGUUCUAAAAGAGAGGCUGGUGUUGGGAAUAAUCUCCAAAAAGGGAAAUAAGUAAAUCACCAACAAACAGCAUUAGCAGCGGUCCAGCAGAUCGGAAGCUUCUAGUGCCAGCAGUAGCACCAUUGAGCGUCAGCAAUUCAGGAGCAGGGUCAAGCGUCAAGAAGUUCUAAAAGGUUAUAUUCAAAGAACUACACAUCUAGAAGGGGUGUGUAAUUUUUUUCAUAUUCUUUAUUAAGAUUUUUCAUUGCCUUGAUAAAAUAUAUAUAGAUUUAUAGAUAUGAAUAAGAUAAGAAAAAGAAAUGAUAGAAUAGCAAAGAAAUCCUAAGUAACCAUUAUAUACUAGCUGUGCCCGGCCACACGUUGCUAUGGCUUAGUCUGGUGGUGUUGGUCAGUCUACAUUAGGUUGUAUUUAUGCUGUGACCUUCUUUAUACUCACAUUAGUAGUAGUAUUUAAAGUCUGUUACCUUCUUCAAUUUUUGUGUUGAUUGAUAAUUGCUUGAGAUCCCUUUUGUCUUUGGGUUGUUGUUAAUCGUGAUUUCUGAUUCUGCUGAGUGCGGUUUAUAUUUUUAUUGUGGUACAAUAGUCUUUUUUUUGUUUUGCCUGUGUAGGUAUUUAUUAUUACUGUGACUUUUGUGGGUCCGGAUUGUGGUUUUGUGGUGUGGUUGUGUUGUUACAACUGGGAGGGAAGGCUUUUGCAUUGUGUUGCCAAGUUUCGUAUUUCUGGGGCGUUUAGUUGUGUUGUUAUAGUCACGAUACGUUGUUGUGAGUUUUGUGGGUCCGGAUUGUGAUUUUGUGGUGUGGUUGUGUUGUUACAACUGGGAGGUAAGGCUUUUGCAUUGUGUUGCCAAGUUUUGUAUUUCUGGGGCGAUUAGUUGUGUUGUUAUAGUCAUGAUGUGUUGUUGUGAGUUUUGUGGGUCCGGAUUGUGGUUUUGUGGUGUGGUUGUGUUGUUAUAACCGGGAGGCAAGGCUUUUGCGUUGUGUUGCCAAGUUUUGCAUUUCUGGGACGUUUAGUUUUGUUGUUAUAGUCACUGUGCAAACAACUUUAUCCUUUUAUAUAUACAGUAUAGUCUCACUUAUCCAACACUCGCUUAUCCAACAUUCUGGAUUAUCCAACGUAUUUUUGUAGUCAAUGUUUUCAAUACAUCGUGAUAUUUUGGUGCUAAAUUCGUAAAUACAGUAAUUACUACAUAGCAUUACUGUGUAUUGAACUACUUUUUCUGUCAAAUCUGUUGUAUAACAUAAUGUUUUGGUGCUUAAUUUGUAAAAUCAUAACCUAAUUUAAUAUUUAAUAGGCUUUUCCUUAAUCUCUCCUUAUUAUCCAAUAUAUUCACUUAUCCAACAUUCUGCCGGCCCGUUUAUGUUGGAUAAGCGAGACUCUACUGUAUAGACACAUAAAAUAGUAUUUAGUAUUUACAAAGUUAAUAUUGUACUGUAGAGUAAGUCAAUAACUCUAAUUCUCACUAAGAGACUGUUUACAUAAAUAGUGUACUUGUCAGGAUUUAAUGUUAAAUUAAAUAGAAAGGUAAAGUAAAGGGAAAAGAAUAAAAAUAGAGAUAAUAGAGAAUUAUUUUUUUUUACUUCCUGGUAUCUUCAUGAGGUCUUGUCUUUAUAUAUACAGUAGAGUCUCACUUAUCCAAGCCUCGCUUAUCCAAGCUUCUGGAUUAUCCAAGCCAUUUUUGUAGUCAAUGUUUUCAAUAUAUCAUGAUAUUUUGGUGCUAAAUUCGUAAAUACAGUAAUGACAAGAUAACAUUACUGCGUAUUGAACUACUUUUUCUGUCAAAUUUGUUGUAUAACAUGAUGUUUUGGUGCUUAAUUUGUAAAAUCAUUACCUAAUUUGAUGUUUAAUAGGCUUUUUCUAAGUUCCUCCUUAUUAUCCAAGAUAUUCACUUAUCCAAGCUUCUGCCGGCCCAUUUACGACUCUACUGUAUAGACACAUAAAAUAGUAUUUAGUAUUUACAAAGUUAAUAUUGUACUGUAGAGUAAGUCAAUAACUCUAAUUCUCACUAAGAGACUGUUUACAUAAAUGGUGUACUUAUCAGGAUUUAAUGUUAAAUUAAAUAGAAAGGUAAAGUAAAGGGAAAAGAAUAAAAAUAGAGAUAAUAGAGAAUUUUUUUUUACUUCCUGGUAUCUUCAUGAGGUCUUGUCUUUUAUUUUUAUUAUAUAUAUAUAUAUUCCUCUCUUCCUUCUCACCUCCAGAAGGGGUGUGCAAUUUUUUUGUGUUAGUCAUCUUAAGUCGGAUCAAAUUAGUUAAAUUCGUACUUAUGACACGAUAUCAGACACGCGGGCAUGGCUCGCAUUAAAAACGUAAAAAUCGAAACUUACCCGAUACUUUUUCGUUUGAAUUUUGUAAACCUCAGAAGCCUCCCAAAGCCAGCUUUAUUUUCCUUUUUAAAUGAAUAGCCUCUUGCCACAAGGAGAGGAAAGCAGCAGGGAGAAAGCAGAGUUUGCUGGGAAAGAGACAGAGAGAGCGCAGAACUCUGGGAAAUGUAGUUUGGGAAGGUGUGGAGCCCUAUGGCAGAGAAUGCAAAAGGCCUUGCCAUAAACUACAUUUUCCAGAAUGCUGUUCAGCAUCAGAAAGGCCCAAUCAGAAGAGGAAGAGAUGUGUCCCUCCAUCGCAGCUGCCAGCCAGAGUUCGAAUGAAUGGUUGAACCUGCAAACAGGAGGACUGACUGAGACUUCUUGUAAGUCAGUCUCCAUGCUGGGCUGGGAAGAGAUCCUUAAGGGUUGUUGAAUGUUUUCCGGGCUGCAUGGCCAUGUUCCAGGAGAGAAUAUGCCCGGAAAACAUACAACAACCCUGUGAUCCCGGCCAUGAAAGCCUUCGACAACACAGAGAUUCCUAAAAUUAUUUAUGUAUGUAUUUUAUUUACAGUAUUUAUAUUCCGCCCUUCUCACUCUGAAGGGGACUCAGGGUGGAUCACAGAACAUAUAUAUAUACAAACACACACAUACAUUUAAUGCUGUUAUACACAGACAAUUGUACACAGAAUAGACGUAUAUAUAGGCUUUUCCAAUCUUCAGCAUCUUGGAGGCUUGUGCUCAGUUCCGGCCACGGGGGGAUGUGUGUGCCGUUGCUCCAUCUCCCUGUUCGUAAACUUCCUCCUUUUUGAUGAACCGCCAGCAUUUUUUUUCUGGGUGCCUUUAAAAUACCUCUGUUUUUUAAAGCAGUACCUAUUAAUCUACUCACAUUUUGCUUUCAAAUCGCUAGGUGUUCGAAAGCUGGGCUAAAGGUCAGGAAUUCACCCGGACCCAUGCUUUGAACUGCCAACCUUUUGACUGGCAAGAUUUACUGCAGCUGGUGGUUAACCUGCUGUGCUAAAGCCCGGCCCUAAAUAGAAGUUCUAUUGGUUAAUAUGAGGCAUUCAGUGAGAUUGUUGUCGUUGAAGGCUUUCAUGUCUGGAAUCACAGUGCUGUUGUGUGUUUUCCGGGCAGAUUCUCUCCUGGAAAGAGAGAGAGACAAAGAGAGAGAGAGACC
ensembl:lncRNA